rnacentral:rRNA from 1 species
AAUCAACGCUGGCGGCGCGCCUAACACAUGCAAGUCGCACGAGAAAGGGUAGCAAUACCUGAGUAAAGUGGCGCACGGGUGAGUAACACGUGAAUUAUCUACCUCCGAGUGGGGAAUAACUGAGAGAAAUCUUAGCUAAUACCGCAUAACACUUACGAGUCAAAGCAGCAAUGCGCUUGGAGGGGAGUUCGCGGCCGAUUAGUUAGUUGGCGGGGUAAUGGCCCACCAAGACGAUGAUCGGUAUCCGGCCUGAGAGGGCGCACGGACACACUGGAACUGAAACACGGUCCAGACUCCUACGGGAGGCAGCAGUGGGGAAUUUUGCGCAAUGGGGGAAACCCUGACGCAGCAACGCCGCGUGGAGGAUGAAAUCCCUUGGGAUGUAAACUCCUUUCGAUAGGGAAGAUAAUGACGGUACCUAUAGAAGAAGCCCCGGCUAACUUCGUGCCAGCCGCCGCUGUAAU